rnacentral:tRNA from 1 species
UUAAUUAAAGCCAAAAAGAGGCAUGUCACUGUUAAUGAUAAAAUUGGAAAAUAAUCCUAAUUAAA